GUGUUUUGCUUGUGUUGUACGUGUCGAGUCAUUGCUGGUAUCUGCUGAUAACGCUUGAUGACUUUCUGCCAAGUUGUUAUACUUGACAAUUGGUCGUGCUUGUAAAAUGAGAGAAAAAUGUCGAAUGCUGAGAUCCUGAGGGAAAGAAGGAAGGAAAAUAUUAUAAAUGUAAAGGAUUCCACUUCAAGCUGAAUAAAAAAAAAUACAUUGUUUGUAUUUAUUCUGCGACAAAAUUUGAGAGCAUGGCAGUGAAACAAUCAGUAUGGCGAUGAUACUCCAGCGGGACGUAAUAGAUUAAAAAUUUGUUAA